GCUACCACGCGAGUGGAUGCCAAUCCCCAAAACCUCUCUCAGUUCGGACUGGAGUCUGCAACCCGACUCCACGAAGCUGGAUUCGCUAGUAAUCGCGCAUCAGCCACGGCGCGGUGAAUACGUUCCCGGGCCUUGUACACACCGCCCGUCAAGCCAUGGGAGCCGGGGGUACCUGAAGUGCGUAACCGCGAGGAGCGCCCUAGGGUAAAACUGGUGACUGGGGCUAAGUCGUAACAAGGUAUC
rnacentral:rRNA from 1 species